rnacentral:tRNA from 1 species
GAGGGUAUAGCUCAGUGGUAGAGUGCUUGCUUAGCAUGCACGAGGUCCUGGGUUCAACCCCCAGUACCUCUA